CCGACCUGAGAGGGUGACCGGCCACAUUGGGACUGAGACACGGCCCAAACUCCUACGGGAGGCAGCAGUGGGGAAUAUUGCACAAUGGGCGAAAGCCUGAUGCAGCGACGCCGCGUGAGUGAAGAAGUAUCUCGGUAUGUAAAGCUCUAUCAGCAGGGAAGAAAAUGACGGUACCUGACUAAGAAGCCCCGGCUAACUACGUGCCAGCAGCCGCGGUAAUACGUAGGGGGCAAGCGUUAUCCGGAUUUACUGGGUGUAAAGGGAGCGUAGACGGCGACGCAAGUCUGGAGUGAAAGCCCGGGGCCCAACCCCGGGACUGCUUUGGAAACUGUGCUGCUGGAGUGCAGGAGAGGUAAGUGGAAUUCCUAGUGUAGCGGUGAAAUGCGUAGAUAUUAGGAGGAACACCAGUGGCGAAGGCGGCUUACUGGACUGUAACUGACGUUGAGGCUCGAA
rnacentral:rRNA from 1 species